AGUAGAUUCAGGGUGACAAACUGUCUCACACAAGGAAGAAAGAACUGUGGGGACGGGUCUAUGUCACUUCUCAUUUUUCACAUUUCUGGUUUUAUUUCUCAGUUAGGCGUGAGACCUUUUUUCCCAUGUCUAUCUAGCAAACUGAAAAAUCAAUCACAGAGAGACAUUAAUGAAAGGAAAAGGAGCCACACAACAACCGUGCCAUCAACAUGAACUUUGCUUUCUUCUUCACCAUCGCAUUUCUUAUUUUUAGCACAGUCAGGGGAUGUAAGGUAGACGUCCAACAGCCAACAAAGCUGAUAAGAAAAAAAGAGCAACAGUCCGUCUCUAUCCCAUGCUCCGUCACCGUGUCCAGCUGUCCAAAGAGCCUACCUCAAAUCUCUUGGUAUGUGUUCCGGAAAAACUCUCACUACCAGCUUGAUUUAAAAAGCCCCUCAUUGAGGUACACACUGGAGCACCAGGGCCUGAAAAUCAGCUCUUUGUCAGAAGCAGACUCUGGGGUUUAUUACUGUGCAGCGGCUCUGCUGGAUGUGGCUCACAAUGGGGCGCAGGCAAUCGGACAGGGAACCACUUUGAAAGUCUCAGAGACGGGCUUAAAUGUCUCUCAAGCACUGUUGUUGACAUUGCUAGUCCUGCUGACUGUGUACGGCCUCCUUGUCCUGGUCAUCAUCAUCUGCAUAAAGACUGGACAAUUCAAAUCAGUCUUUAAAAGAAGAUGGAGUAAAAGUGAGAACAAGGGGGACUCAGCUAGGCAGCUAGGCUUCAGUGUAGUGGUGCAAGAACUGUCCAAGAGGAACUUAGUUGGUGGCAAAAUUCAGGCGCACUACAAAGUUUCCCAAGACAAGUCUACAGGUCUUCAGAAUAGGUACGACACUGAAGAUGUUUACCAAAAUCUUGAUGAGUGAAAGAAAUCGAAUCCCCUGAUCCACGCUUGUCCCGCUGAUCUGCAAAACCUGCAGCUUCCUGCAAAUCUAGAAGCUAUAAUUUGGGGAAAAGAAGUUUAACUUCAACAUAUUGGAUUUUUGCACUCAUUUAAAAAUUCGUCAUGUAGCAUAAGUGUGCUAUUUGUACUGAUAAAAAAAAUCAACUUAAUGUUGUAAUAUAGUGGUUGGGUGACCCAAGAUUGCGACAUGUUGUCUGUCGUUGACCUUCCUCUCACAAGUGUUUUACAAAUCACGUGAGCACUCUUGCUAUGUUUAACUGUAUUUGUUAAGUAAAAUGCUAAACCUCUUAACCCACACUGGCCUGAAGGGCGCGUUUAGGCAUGUCUGUACUUUUAAUUACCAUUGUUUUAUAAAAAAAUAUUCAAUUAGCUAUCAUAAACUAUGCAUCAUUUGAAAGCUAAAACGCUCAAGAUUCAUCUUCUGUACUUGUUUUUUAAAUCAAUAAAACAGAGAGGAAAGAAUUAAAUGAAAUGCUGAAGGACUGGCCAUUUAAUGUAUUGAUUGUAUUCAAGCUGCUGUGCAUGAACUGGACAUACAGUCGUUGUUGUUAUUUGCAGGGUCAGCACCAUGACAGCACAUUUCAUUCUUACAUUGAAGCCAUUUUUUUCCCUGUUGUCUCAGAUGUGGGGCAGAAUUGAUGGGACUUACUGUUUUUUGUUUGUUUGCUUGUUUUUUGACCAUUGACCAAGUUUUGUUUUCUUUUAUGUGCUCUCUUUAUCAGUAUUUUAUAACAGACUAUGUAGGCUACUCAGCUAGCAAAGCAAUAUCAACACCCAAUUUCUUUACUUCAAAUAAUUCCGAACACGACCAAAUUUGUUCCCUGAUCGUUACAAAAUACGACCAGAUUUGCAUACAUUGUUUUUUCCCCGUUAUUAACAAACUACUCGCAAACAAACAGACAUUCGUCUUUUUUUCUUCUCUGUAAUUUAUUUUUAUUUCUUUAAUAAAUUAUUUUAACGUAACG
rnacentral:lncRNA from 1 species